UCUGUUUUUUAAAUUUUAUUUUACAUUUUAAAAUUUGAAUCUCAUUAUGUUUUUAACUUCGAAAAGUAUAGCCGCUCAUUGCUAUUUCAGUUGGGCCUUUUCCUACUUAGGCCCUUGCUAAAACUGAAAAUUGAGGGAAAUGUGAUAUUCCCCGCAUCGAUAUUUGGUUUUGUUAUACACACACACACUGGAUAAUGUUCCUUGACCAUUAUGCUUUCAAUUCAUUGACGGACAAAUAUUUAACAGUGAGGUAGAAUUAUACAAUGCAGUGUUACUGUUUUGGAUGGUGUGGUGUUAAACGGAUGUUAUUCACUCCAAUGGAGGAUGGAUGAAUGUUAGAAAUUUGUGCAACCUAGCAUCUAAGAGAUUGGACUCAAAGAUUAUCAACCAAAGUUUUUAUUAUUAUUCAAAAGUAUUCCAAGUACAAGAGACUACCAUUCUAUUGAUAGAGGAUGUUACCCCAAUGACUAGUUAACCAAUUACUAACCAAAUAACCAACUAACAAAAAACUGUUCAAACCAAUUAACAACUAAAUCUUACAACUAACAUUAUCUUUGAUCAGAGAGUUUUUUGUAGCUCCUUUUGAGUAGGAUGGAUGACUUUCCUAUCUUGUUUGCCUUUCUCAUCUAAUCAAAUGACAUGUUUGGCAAAGAUUUCAUACCAUUGUAUCAUCUUUCUAUACUUUUAAAUUUGGGAGAUGCAAGUUCAUAUCAUAUGGAAAUUGUAGCUGAAGCAUUUUUGACAUUCAGGGAAGAGGGUUUAAUGUACAAAUUUUCUACCUUGGAGUCUGUUUCAAACUAUGUCCAGUCUACUGUUCAACUGUAUUGUCAAUUCAUGAACAGGUGACCUUUGAGAUUGUGUAUAUUAUUAUUAACUAUAACUACUUAUCAGUAUAAGAACUGAUUAAAAUAUUUAUAGUUGGCACUUAUUUUUUAAUAAUACACAAUUAAUUUUAAUGACAUUUCAAAAAGCAGCAUACAAAGGGAACUAGACUAGUAUAAGAUUACUGCUAAUUUGAUGCUUCGAUCAGCACCCUGUAUGACCUGUUCAAGGCAUAUGAAGGUUGUUGCACAAGCAAGUAGAUGAAGGCAAUCUUCUCAUGAAUUCAUUCUACAAUUUAGUCGAAAGCUGACUGAUUUUAGAGAGAUGCAACUUUCAUCUGAGAGAGGUGCGAGUGGAGUUGAACGUAUUAGAAUAUCAGUUCUAGCAUAUGAACCUUGCAAUUGCAGCAACGAGCACAAACCGUUAAUGUGCUAAUUUGUAGGAAGUGGUUUUGGAAGUUCGAUUGACAUUUCUAUGACAUAUGAAAGUUCUCCAGAUUGGUGGAAAAUUUUGUAUUUCCUUAAACCAUACCAUAAUGUAAUGUUUUAUAUUGAACCAAUAUUUUUGUUAAAAUUUAUGUUUGUUCCUUAGGAACCUCCAGGUGAUGUACUUGUAUUUCUCACUGGCCAAGAUGAUAUUGAUGCUGCUAUUCAAUUGCUUAGAGAAGAAGAGCGAAAUGAUCGAAAAAAAUCAGAAUUGAUCGUCUUGCCUCUACUCUGGGCUUUCACCUGCAGAGCAGGAGCUUGUGUUCUCACCCACACCCAGGGGGAAGAGGAAAGUAGUGAUUUCAAAAAAUAUAGCAGAGACAUCAUUAACUCUCGAGGGCAUUGUCUAUGUUGUUGACAGUGGGUUCUCUAAGCUGCGGUUUUACAAUCCAGUAAUUUCGUUUUUCAUUUAAUUCAUCAUAAUGUGUAUAAAGAUUCACUGUCUGUAUCUUCUGCAAAAAGUUGUGCUUCCUCCCAUUUUCUUGGUUGACUUUUUUGUAACGCUAAUCAAUAUUUUGGCUAUUACUGAUGCUACAAGUCUUGAUGUGUUUUAAAAGUUAUGUUGAAGACUUGAAUAAUAAAGACUAUUUUAACCAUCUUUAUUGGUGAA